rnacentral:Y_RNA from 1 species
GGCUGGUCUAAAGGUAGUGAGUUAUCUCAAUUGAUUGUUCACAGUCAGUUACAGAUCGAACUCCUGGUUCUACUCUUUCUCCCCUUCUCACUACUGCACUUGACUAGUCUUUA